GAUGAACGCUGGCGGCGUGCCUAAUACAUGCAAGUCGAGCGAACGGACGAGAAGCUUGCUUCUCUGAUGUUAGCGGCGGACGGGUGAGUAACACGUGGAUAACCUACCUAUAAGACUGGGAUAACUUCGGGAAACCGGAGCUAAUACCGGAUAAUAUUUUGAACCGCAUGGUUCAAAAGUGAAAGACGGUCUUGCUGUCACUUAUAGAUGGAUCCGCGCUGCAUUAGCUAGUUGGUAAGGUAACGGCUUACCAAGGCAACGAUGCAUAGCCGACCUGAGAGGGUGAUCGGCCACACUGGAACUGAGACACGGUCCAGACUCCUACGGGAGGCAGCAGUAGGGAAUCUUCCGCAAUGGGCGAAAGCCUGACGGAGCAACGCCGCGUGAGUGAUGAAGGUCUUCGGAUCGUAAAACUCUGUUAUUAGGGAAGAACAAAUGUGUAAGUAACUGUGCACGUCUUGACGGUACCUAAUCCGAAAGCCACGGCUAACUACGUG
rnacentral:rRNA from 1 species